GAACCAGAUUCGCCGGCAAUCUAGCACGUCUAUAAGUAUCGAAAUACGCAAGACUAGCACACAUUCCAGGCGUGCUAAUCCCAGCAGAAACAGCCAAACCAACAACUCUUCUCCAAGCAGCUUGUCUCUGAACCAUCUCUUUAGCAAACUCAGGAUCAACCACAAGACUAGCCAAGUCCGGGUUCCUCUGGUAAGCUUUCUUGAUCCUAUCCAAGAAAACCGCUCUUAUAAUACAACCACCUUUCCAAAUCCUAGCCAAUUCACCAAAAUUCAAGUUCCAACUCUUCUCUAAACUCUUAGCUCUAAGCAAAUUCAUCCCUUGAGCAUAACUACAAAUCUUGGAAGCAUACAAAGCUUGCCUAACAUCAUCAACCAAUCUCUUCUUAUCGAUUCCACUCGACGCAGAACCAAUCUCUUCUUUCAAUCCAGCUUCCCUCAACACUUUCGCUGCAUUCUCCCUCUCAUCUUUCAACCCACUCAAAUACCUACAAUCCAACGAAGCAGCAAUCGUCGGAGCUGCAACAGACAGCUCCGCCGCUUGCUGCACCGUCCAUUUCCCAGUACCUUUCAUACCAGUC